AUGGUAAGACUGCGUAGACACGUGUUUAUUAAUCCGAGUUUAUUUAGUAUUUGUGACGUCAUCCAUCGACUCUAGGGCCAUGAACAGAUCCACCAGGCAUUGGGUCUUCCGUGGAUGUGGAAGAAGUGGAUAGCUCAAGUGGAUGAUGUGGAUAAUAGAGGAAAAAGGUAGAGUGUUCACCUGUUUGUGGUGGUGAAUUCUUCUUCUCACCUGUAUGAUCAGCUGUACAGGUGUUCCAGGUGGUCAUUAGUGUACCUGAGAAGUCAAGUUCGUUGGCGUAAUAUACAUCGAGAGAGAGAGAGAGAGAGAGAGAGAGAGAGAGAGAGAGAGAGAGAGAGACGCCUUAACUGUAACAUUACUUAAGUUCACGCAAACAAUGUAACCAGCGAAAAUCGGAAGAAAAUGUACUAAAAGAGGAAAAAAAUAAAGGAGAAAGAGAGAGAGAGAGAGAGAGAGAGAGAGAGGAAAAGCUUUGUGUGUGUGUGUGUAUGCGUGUGUGUGUGUAGGAAACAGGAGGCCAUUACAAGUGUCGAGUAUUGAUAACAUUGAUAAACUUUCCGCCUGAUAAUUUCUCUCAGGUUAAUCAGACGGGUUAAUACAACACACUUCCGGUGGUGUGUGCUUUUCCUCCUUACUCCUUUUGUCUUCUUGUUUUCCUCAUUGUCCUGUCUUCUUCCUCCUCCUCAUUACGUGUUAUCAUUAUCCUAUUCUUUGAUUUAUUUAUUCGUCCUCCUUUUAUCUGAUUGUGUUUAAAAGCCAUUACUGUUUGUUUUGUUGGCUGUUUAUUGAUGUUAUUUAUG